rnacentral:rRNA from 1 species
AGUGAACGCUGGCGGUAGGCCUAACACAUGCAAGUCGAACGGCAGCACAGUAAGAGCUUGCUCUUACGGGUGGCGAGUGGCGGACGGGUGAGGAAUACAUCGGAAUCUACUUUUUCGUGGGGGAUAACGUAGGGAAACUUACGCUAAUACCGCAUACGACAUACGGGUGAAAGCAGGGGAUCUUCGGACCUUGCGCGAUUGAAUGAGCCGAUGUCGGAUUAGCUAGUUGGCGGGGUAAAGGCCCACCAAGGCGGCGAUCCGUAGCUAGUCUGAGAGGAUGAACAGACACACUGGAACUGAGACGCAGGCCAGACUACUACGGGAAGGAGCAGCGGCGAAUAUUGGACAAUAGUCGGAAGCCUGGUCCAGCUAUACCGCGUGGGUGAAGAAGGCAUUCGGUGUGUAAAGCACUGUUGUUGGGAAAGAAAAGAAGGAGGUGAAUAUCUAGGUGUUCUGACGGUACCUAGAGAAGAAGCACCGGCUAACUUGGUG